rnacentral:snoRNA from 1 species
CCCCUCCAAGUUCCUUACCCAUCAGCCCUCACCACUGGUCUGAGUGUCUGUAAAAGGAGCAAAGAUCAAAGUGAAGUGGACUUACGGUCUUCAGUGACCUCAAGCGAACGUCCAAUGAACACAAGA